rnacentral:rRNA from 1 species
CCUACGGGAGGCAGCAGUGGGGAAUAUUGCACAAUGGGGGAAACCCUGAUGCAGCGACGCCGCGUGAAGGAAGAAGUAUUUCGGUAUGUAAACUUCUAUCAGCAGGGAAGAAAAUGACGGUACCUGACUAAGAAGCCCCGGCUAACUACGUGCCAGCAGCCGCGGUAAUACGUAGGGGGCAAGCGUUAUCCGGAUUUACUGGGUGUAAAGGGAGCGUAGGCGGUUUAGCAAGUCAGAAGUGAAAGCCCAGGGCUCAACUCCGGGACUGCUUUUGAAACUGGUGAACUAGAUUGCAGGAGAGGUAAGUGGAAUUCCUAGUGUAGCGGUGAAAGGCGUAGAUAUUAGGAGGAACAACAGUGGCGAAGGCGGCUUACUGGACUGUAAAUGACGCUGAGGCUCGAAAGCGUGGGGAGCAAACAGGAUUAGAUACCCUGGUAGUC